CCUUCCCCAAAUCUUCCCCCUACCCCGAUCCCCCAAACGUCUGGUCUCCCAGAACUUUGGAGAUUCUCCCUUGCUUUGUCCCCCCCCCCCCAACACGCUGGGGAACAGGCGAAGUUGAGAGAGGUAGCCCUCGGGGAGGCACUCAUUCAUUCACCGGGUGGAUGGCUGCGGAGCGCGGGCCAGCCGGACCAGGCGGCCGCCAGAAGGAAGGAAGAGUCGCCAGCAGAUCCCAGGCUCUGGCCGUGGAGUCCCGCAACUGCUCGCUGAUGGACCGCCUGAGCUGCGUUGGGAAGGGCUUCCGUUUGCUGGUCAUUUUAGAUCCGUCCUCAUAACGACCAGCGAGCGGGCUCGCCACCGCCACUCCCGCGUGGCCCGCAACUCAGACUCCCGGAGACCCGAGACGCCCGGAGCGGGACUCCCGCUGGGGUCCCGGGACCCGCCGCGGGCGCGACAUGGGUCCGCCGCCGUCCCGCGCUGGGGGCUCCUCCGCGCGCGCGGGCCGAGAUGCGCCGCCCGCCCCGAGCCGAGCAAGUUUCAGAAGCCACCACCAUCACCACCACCGUAACACAAAUUUUAAACUAUGCCACAGCUGGUGCCAUUAUAACUCAUCAGAGUUUUCCUGAACUCAAGUCACUUGACGUCAGCUAUUCAGUUUGGCUAACAUUCUUCUGGAGUUGGAUACGGGUGUUCUCGGGUUUUACGUUAAUCUCUCCUCAUUUCAUCAAUGAAAUGAUUAUCUGGCUGCAACCAGCAAUCAAAUUAAGUGAUUUAAAAAGUCAAGGGACGCCUGGGCGGCUCAGCCGGUUGAGGGUCCGACUUCAGCUCAGGUCAUGAUCUCGCGGU